UACUCAGAAAGUGGAAGUGGAGCUGUGGCUCAAGUGGCAGAACACUAGCCUUGGCACAAAUGCUCAGAAACAACACCCACACCUUGGGUUCAAGCCC